rnacentral:rRNA from 1 species
CACGUAGGAGGCGAGCGUUGUCCGGAAUCAUUGGGCGUAAAGAGCGCGCAGGCGGCUUGGCAAGUCGGGUGUGAAAUCCCGGGGCUCAACCCCGUGACUGCAUCCGAUACUGUCAGGCUAGAGGUAGGUAGGGGAGAUCGGAAUUCCUGGUGUAGCGGUGAAAUGCGCAGAUAUCAGGAGGAACACCGGUGGCGAAGGCAGCUCGCUGGGACGGUACUGACACUAAGGCGCGAAAGCGUGGGGAGCGAACGAGG